rnacentral:rRNA from 1 species
GUCGAACGGUAGCACAGAAGAGCUUGCUCUUCGGGUGACGAGUGGCGGACGGGUGAGUAAUGUCUGGGGAUCUGCCCGAUAGAGGGGGAUAACCACUGGAAACGGUGGCUAAUACCGCAUAACGUCGCAAGACCAAAGAGGGGGACCUUCGGGCCUCUCACUAUCGGAUGAACCCAGAUGGGAUUAGCUAGUAGGUGGGGUAACGGCUCACCUAGGCGACGAUCCCUAGCUGGUCUGAGAGGAUGACCAGCCACACUGGAACUGAGACACGGUCCAGACUCCUACGGGAGGCAGCAGUGGGGAAUAUUGCACAAUGGGCGCAAGCCUGAUGCAGCCAUGCCGCGUGUAUGAAGAAGGCCUUCGGGUUGUAAAGUACUUUCAGCGGGGAGGAAGGGAGCGAGGUUAAUAACCUCGUUCAUUGACGUUACCCGCAGAAGAAGCACCGGCUAACUCCGUGCCAGCAGCCGCGGUAAUACGGAGGGUGCAAGCGUUAAUCGGAAUUACUGGGCGUAAAGCGCACGCAGGCGGUCUGCUAAGUCAGAUGUGAAAUCCCCGGGCUUAACCUGGGAACUGCAU